GACGAACGCUGGCGGCGUGCUUAACACAUGCAAGUCGAACGGAAAGGCCCUGCUUUUGUGGGGUGCUCGAGUGGCGAACGGGUGAGUAACACGUGAGUAACCUGCCCUUGACUUUGGGAUAACUUCAGGAAACUGGGGCUAAUACCGGAUAGGAGCUCCUGCUGCAUGGUGGGGGUUGGAAAGUUUCGGCGGUUGGGGAUGGACUCGCGGCUUAUCAGCUUGUUGGUGGGGUAGUGGCUUACCAAGGCUUUGACGGGUAGCCGGCCUGAGAGGGUGACCGGCCACAUUGGGACUGAGAUACGGCCCAGACUCCUACGGGAGGCAGCAGUGGGGAAUAUUGCACAAUGGGCGGAAGCCUGAUGCAGCAACGCCGCGUGCGGGAUGAAGGCCUUCGGGUUGUAAACCGCUUUCGCCUGUGACGAAGCGUGAGUGACGGUAAUGGGUAAAGAAGCACCGGCUAACCACGUG
rnacentral:rRNA from 1 species